GUUAUCGUUGUAGCCUUGAAGAGUAAGGUGACGUUGUUGAUUGAUCAAUAACUAUGCGAGUGAUUCGUAUUAUUAUCUUAGACGAUGAAAAAUGACCAUGACAGGAACGACAUAUCAAAAAGAAGGAAAGAAAAGUUCUGUGGUCCAAGCGUGUACCCUCGAGGGCAACGGCAAAGAUGUAAAAUCUGGUUUGACCAUAUUCGAGCUCCUAAGGUCACUCCAUUGUCUUUUUGCGCAGCUCUCGAGAGAAACGGGUACCGGUUUCCGACGUCGUCAGAGAGCUCAGAACGAAGACAACCCGCAUCGAUACGAUGUAUAAAGUGUGAGCCACUUCGAUUGUGAAAAACGAGACACGUGAAUCCCACAUUUCUUUCUCUUUAAGAACAUUUAUAGAAAAUCGAUAUAGUUUUUUUUUUUUGAUAGCUAAACGAGAAAAAAAGAUAAAGAGAAAUGUAUU